GGUUAAGCGACUAAGCGUACACGGUGGAUGCCCUGGCAGUCAGAGGCGAUGAAGGACGUGCUAAUCUGCGAUAAGCGUCGGUAAGGUGAUAUGAACCGUUAUAACCGGCGAUUUCCGAAUGGGGAAACCCAGUGUGUUUCGACACACUAUCAUUAACUGAAUCCAUAGGUUAAUGAGGCGAACCGGGGGAACUGAAACAUCUAAGUACCCCGAGGAAAAGAAAUCAACCGAGAUUCCCCCAGUAGCGGCGAGCGAACGGGGAGCAGCCCAGAGCCUGAAUCAGUGUGUGUGUUAGUGGAAGCGUCUGGAAAGGCGCGCGAUACAGGGUGACAGCCCCGUACACAAAAAUGCACAUGCUGUGAGCUCGAUGAGUAGGGCGGGACACGUGGUAUCCUGUCUGAAUAUGGGGGGACCAUCCUCCAAGGCUAAAUACUCCUGACUGACCGAUAGUGAACCAGUACCGUGAGGGAAAGGCGAAAAGAACCCCGGCGAGGGGAGUGAAAAAGAACCUGAAACCGUGUACGUACAAGCAGUGGGAGCACGCUUAGGCGUGUGACUGCGUACCUUUUGUAUAAUGGGUCAGCGACUUAUAUUCUGUAGCAAGGUUAACCGAAUAGGGGAGCCGAAGGGAAACCGAGUCUUAACUGGGCGUUAAGUUGCAGGGUAUAGACCCGAAACCCGGUGAUCUAGCCAUGGGCAGGUUGAAGGUUGGGUAACACUAACUGGAGGACCGAACCGACUAAUGUUGAAAAAUUAGCGGAUGACUUGUGGCUGGGGGUGAAAGGCCAAUCAAACCGGGAGAUAGCUGGUUCUCCCCGAAAGCUAUUUAGGUAGCGCCUCGUGAAUUCAUCUCCGGGGGUAGAGCACUGUUUCGGCAAGGGGGUCAUCCCGACUUACCAACCCGAUGCAAACUGCGAAUACCGGAGAAUGUUAUCACGGGAGACACACGGCGGGUGCUAACGUCCGUCGUGAAGAGGGAAACAACCCAGACCGCCAGCUAAGGUCCCAAAGUCAUGGUUAAGUGGGAAACGAUGUGGGAAGGCCCAGACAGCCAGGAUGUUGGCUUAGAAGCAGCCAUCAUUUAAAGAAAGCGUAAUAGCUCACUGGUCGAGUCGGCCUGCGCGGAAGAUGUAACGGGGCUAAACCAUGCACCGAAGCUGCGGCAGCGACACUAUGUGUUGUUGGGUAGGGGAGCGUUCUGUAAGCCUGUGAAGGUGUGCUGUGAGGCAUGCUGGAGGUAUCAGAAGUGCGAAUGCUGACAUAAGUAACGAUAAAGCGGGUGAAAAGCCCGCUCGCCGGAAGACCAAGGGUUCCUGUCCAACGUUAAUCGGGGCAGGGUGAGUCGACCCCUAAGGCGAGGCCGAAAGGCGUAGUCGAUGGGAAACAGGUUAAUAUUCCUGUACUUGGUGUUACUGCGAAGGGGGGACGGAGAAGGCUAUGUUGGCCGGGCGACGGUUGUCCCGGUUUAAGCGUGUAGGCUGGUUUUCCAGGCAAAUCCGGAAAAUCAAGGCUGAGGCGUGAUGACGAGGCACUACGGUGCUGAAGCAACAAAUGCCCUGCUUCCAGGAAAAGCCUCUAAGCAUCAGGUAACAUCAAAUCGUACCCCAAACCGACACAGGUGGUCAGGUAGAGAAUACCAAGGCGCUUGAGAGAACUCGGGUGAAGGAACUAGGCAAAAUGGUGCCGUAACUUCGGGAGAAGGCACGCUGAUAUGUAGGUGAGGUCCCUCGCGGAUGGAGCUGAAAUCAGUCGAAGAUACCAGCUGGCUGCAACUGUUUAUUAAAAACACAGCACUGUGCAAACACGAAAGUGGACGUAUACGGUGUGACGCCUGCCCGGUGCCGGAAGGUUAAUUGAUGGGGUUAGCGCAAGCGAAGCUCUUGAUCGAAGCCCCGGUAAACGGCGGCCGUAACUAUAACGGUCCUAAGGUAGCGAAAUUCCUUGUCGGGUAAGUUCCGACCUGCACGAAUGGCGUAAUGAUGGCCAGGCUGUCUCCACCCGAGACUCAGUGAAAUUGAACUCGCUGUGAAGAUGCAGUGUACCCGCGGCAAGACGGAAAGACCCCGUGAACCUUUACUAUAGCUUGACACUGAACAUUGAGCCUUGAUGUGUAGGAUAGGUGGGAGGCUUAGAAGUGUGGACGCCAGUCUGCAUGGAGCCGACCUUGAAAUACCACCCUUUAAUGUUUGAUGUUCUAACGUUGACCCGUAAUCCGGGUUGCGGACAGUGUCUGGUGGGUAGUUUGACUGGGGCGGUCUCCUCCUAAAGAGUAACGGAGGAGCACGAAGGUUGGCUAAUCCUGGUCGGACAUCAGGAGGUUAGUGCAAUGGCAUAAGCCAGCUUGACUGCGAGCGUGACGGCGCGAGCAGGUGCGAAAGCAGGUCAUAGUGAUCCGGUGGUUCUGAAUGGAAGGGCCAUCGCUCAACGGAUAAAAGGUACUCCGGGGAUAACAGGCUGAUACCGCCCAAGAGUUCAUAUCGACGGCGGUGUUUGGCACCUCGAUGUCGGCUCAUCACAUCCUGGGGCUGAAGUAGGUCCCAAGGGUAUGGCUGUUCGCCAUUUAAAGUGGUACGCGAGCUGGGUUUAGAACGUCGUGAGACAGUUCGGUCCCUAUCUGCCGUGGGCGCUGGAGAACUGAGGGGGGCUGCUCCUAGUACGAGAGGACCGGAGUGGACGCAUCACUGGUGUUCGGGUUGUCAUGCCAAUGGCACUGCCCGGUAGCUAAAUGCGGAAGAGAUAAGUGCUGAAAGCAUCUAAGCACGAAACUUGCCCCGAGAUGAGUUCUCCCUGAC
rnacentral:rRNA from 1 species